rnacentral:rRNA from 1 species
UACCGCGUGUGUGAAGAAGGCCUUAGGGUUGUAAAGCACUUUCAAUUGGGAGGAAAACCUACCGGUCAAUACCCGGUAGCUUGACAUUACCUUUAGAAGAAGCACCGGCUAACUCCGUGCCAGCAGCCGCGGUAAUACGGAGGGUGCGAGCGUUAAUCGGAAUUACUGGGCGUAAAGCGUGCGUAGGCGGUUCGUUAAGUCAGAUGUGAAAGCCCUGGGCUCAACCUGGGAACUGCAUUUGAAACUGGCGGACUAGAGUUUAGUAGAGGGGAGUGGAAUUUCAGGUGUAGCGGUGAAAUGCGUAGAUAUCUGAAGGAACACCAGUGGCGAAGGCGACUCCCUGGACUAGAACUGACGCUGAGGUACGAAAGCGUGGGUAGCAAACAGGAUUAGAUACCCUGGUAGUCCACGCCGUAAACGAUGUCGACUAGCCGUUGGGCCUAUAUACAGGUUUAGUGGCGCAGCUAACGCAUUAAGUCGACCGCCUGGGGAGUACGGCCGCAAGGUUAAAACUCAAAUGAAUUGACGGGGGCCCGCACAAGCGGUGGAGCAUGUGGUUUAAUUCGAUGCAACGCGAAGAACCUUACCUACCCUUGACAUCCAGAGAAUCUGUUAGAGAUAGUA